GUAAGGAAUAUUGGUCAAUGGGCGGAAGCCUGAACCAGCCAUGCCGCGUGCAGGACGACGGCCCUACGGGUUGUAAACUGCUUUUGCCCAGGAAUAACCCCCCGCUCUUGAGCGGGGCUGAACGUACCGGGAGAAUAAGGAUCGGCUAACUCCGUGCCAGCAGCCGCGGUAAUACGGAGGAUCCGAGCGUUAUCCGGAUUUAUUGGGUUUAAAGGGUGCGUAGGCGGCCUGUUAAGUCAGGGGUGAAAUACGGCAGCUCAACUGUCGCAGUGCCCUUGAUACUGACGGGCUUGAAUACCGGUGAAGGCGGCGGAAUGAGACAAGUAGCGGUGAAAUGCAUAGAUAUGUCUCAGAACCCCGAUUGCGAAGGCAGCUGCCUAACCGGCGAUUGACGCUGAUGCACGAAAGCGUGGGGAUCGAACAGGAUUAGAUACCCGGGUAGUCC
rnacentral:rRNA from 1 species